rnacentral:rRNA from 1 species
UACGAGGGGGGCGAGCGUUGUUCGGAAUUAUUGGGCGUAAAGGGUGCGUAGGCGGUUCCGCAAGUCCUGUGUGAAAUCUUCGGGCUCAACUCGAAGUCUGCACGGGAAACUGCGGGGCUUGAGUGUGGGAGAGGUGAGUGGAAUUCCCGGUGUAGCGGUGAAAUUCGUAGAUAUUGGGAAGAACACCAGUGGCGAAGGCGGCUAUCUGGACCGUAACUGACGCUGAGGCGCGAAAGCGUGGGGAGCAAACAGG